rnacentral:rRNA from 1 species
ACGGGUGAGUAAUACAUCGGAACGUGCCCAGUAGUGGGGGAUAGCCCGGCGAAAGCCGGAUUAAUACCGCAUACGACCUACGGGUGAAAGCGGGGGAUCGCAAGACCUCGCGCUAUUGGAGCGGCCGGUGUCAGAUUAGCUAGUUGGUGGGGUAAAGGCCUACCAAGGCGACGAUCUGUAGCUGGUCUGAGAGGACGACCAGCCACACUGGGACUGAGACACGGCCCAGACUCCUACGGGAGGCAGCAGUGGGGAAUUUUGGACAAUGGGGGCAACCCUGAUCCAGCCAUGCCGCGUGCGGGAAGAAGGCCUUCGGGUUGUAAACCGCUUUUGUCGGGGAAGAAACGGUCUGCGCUAAUACCGCGGACUAAUGACGGUACCCGAAGAAUAAGCACCGGCUAACUACGUGCCAGCAGCCGCGGUAAUACGUAGGGUGCAAGCGUUAAUCGGAAUUACUGGGCGUAAAGCGUGCGCAGGCGGCUUUGCAAGACAGAUGUGAAAUCCCCGGGCUCAACCUGGGAACUGCAUUUGUGACUGCAUGGCUAGAGUGCGGCAGAGGGGGAUGGAAUUCCGCGUGUAGCAGUGAAA